AGUGGUUACUAGGAGCCAAUAACAAAUCGAUAUGUAAAUCACCUUGGAGACUGCACAAGGCCCUUGGUUCAGAAGUAACCAGCCGGAAGACAGGUGGCCUCAACUCUUUAGGAUUUGUCCUCAGGUCCAGAAAUAGAGAAGGCUGGAUGAGUAAUGGAGGCCUUUCAAUAAUCUGAAUACUCUGGAGUAAGACUUAAGGGGCACUUAGGACAGCUUUGAUCCCAGUGUUCUCUCUAUGCAGCAUUCUCCAGCUCUGUUCCAGCGCUUGAUACAAUUUGGUUCAAACUAAAGAUAAUUCUAGUUCCAGAUGGUUGCUUCACCAACUGACAGAAAAGCUGGCUAAGAAGUUGACCUGUGCUGUGGCAAUACUCCCUGCCUGCUCCUGCUUUCCCUCUCCAUCUAGAGGUUUAAGGGAAGAAGUUCUAGAGAAGAGACUUGGCAGAUUUCAUGGGAUGAAGAGGAUGGAUCUUUUUCAUAGACUUACUCUUUUGCAGAAAUUUUAGGCAUCUGCUGAAAACUGUCGGACUGUAUUUAACUCUACCUCCUACCAAGAAAAUAAAGUCUGUACUGUGGAAGAUCUUAACCAUCUUGGACCUUGUAGCAAACUUAGGUUGUAAGCUGCCCUUCUGGGGCACACUGACAUGGACCUACAUAGCUCAAGAAACCAGUGCUUCAUUUCAGCUGCAAGGUUGGGCCUGUGGCUCCUUGCUUAAGGGGAGAAAGAAAUAUGGCUGUAGUCUUGGUAAGCUGUCAGAAAAUGAUUACUAAGAUAUAAAGAGAUAGUUCAUGAUAGAGGAUUAUGAUGAAUGAAUUAAACACUGGGGAAACUAACCUCACUAGUAAAGAAAUACAUGUUAAAACAUUAGGACACAAUUUCUCCUAAUAAAGUAGCAAGGCUGCAGCGAAACUUAACAUUCUGUAAUAGAUGGCAUUACAAAUAAGUGUCAACUAUUUGGAGGGCAGUUUGCGAUAUAUCAAGAGCCUAAAGGAUUGUUUGUGUCCUUUGACCCAUUGAUCUCAAUUUUGUUACUCUAUAAACAUUUAUUAAGGGUCCCUUCCAUAUGACAGAUAACAUUCUAGGUGGAGACAUCAGAGAUUGGUGUCGCAUAUUGUACCCUUCGGAAACUGACAGUCUUCUGGGGAAAAACAUACUAAUAAUCAGAUAAUAACAAUACAGAGUUGAAUGGGGAAAACAGGAGCCUAACUGCAGGUCUGGGGAGUGUGUGGCAGGGAACAGGGAAGGUUUCCUGCAGGAGAUGACACCAUACUGAAUCUGAGAGGAUACAUAAUUACCCUAGAAUACCAAGUGGGGACCAGGGUUCCAGGCAGAGCCAGAAUAAGACCCAGAGGUGGCUGUCCAUGGUUCAGCAUGGCUAGAGGCUAGGCCUAAAAGGGAUGUCGGGAGGUGAUUCCACCGUUCUCAAGGCUUACAUUAGAAAAAGUUUUCAGGAGGAGUUCCUGUCAUGGCUGAGCAGUUAACGAACCCGACUAGUAUCGAUGAGGACUUGGGUUCAAUACCUGGCCUUGCUC